CGGACGGGUGAGUAACACGUGGAUAACCUACCUAUAAGACUGGGAUAACUUCGGGAAACCGGAGCUAAUACCGGAUAAUAUAUUGAACCGCAUGGUUCAAUAGUGAAAGAUGGUUUUGCUGUCACUUAUAGAUGGAUCCGCGCCUCAUUAGCUAGUUGGUAAGGUAACGGCUUACCAAGGCAACGAUGCGUAGCCGACCUGAGAGGGUGAUCGGCCACACUGGAACUGAGACACGGUCCAG
rnacentral:rRNA from 1 species